GGAAGGGUGAUAGGUUGGCAUCAAGUGCUUACAAGAUGGGCAUUUCUAGUCUAAGGUCAGGCUGAAAGUCAUCAGAAACACCAUUUAAUUAUUAAUUUCUGCAAAGUGAAAGAAACUGAUGGGCCAUACUGACAUGAGUCAAAUUAUAGAUAGGGUGACUAAUUUGAGGAGAAUCAACAUAAGUCCAAGAAGGGAAAGGAGUUUAGCAGUGAACAAAAAUCGAAUCGGAUGGCAGAAGUUAUGGUCACAGCACAAGGAAGACUGCCUCAGAUGCCGGGUGGCAGGGAACACACGUGUGUUUAUCUUCUUUCCUUUUGGGAUGUCAACUACACAUCUCCUAUACUCACCCUAUGCCUCCCUUCAAGAUUAGGAUCCUAUCCAAUUUCCAAAUACUUUUGGUGGUUCUGCAGUGCUUUCCAGUAGUUUUAUUUUUUCCUCGAGUUUUUAAGUAUCAUUAUACUUUAAAAUGUAAGUAAGUAAGUGAUAAUAUAUACGUAUACUCCAUGGAAUAUUUUUCUUUUUAAAUACUUAGUAUGAACUAUGAAGAUAAAAACCAUACCCCCAAGUGAUUAGGUGAUGUAAAAGAUUAUACAAAUUGCCCCAGCAUUGUGAUUUCAGAAAUUUCAGGAAGCUUCUUUAAACAUAUAUAUAUAUAUAUGCACAUAGGAAUAAUAAUAGUAUACACCUCAAAGAGCCAUUAUUAAACAAAACCCAUAGAACUGUGUCUUGCCCAUGAAGUUAAUAUAAAGAAUAUAUUAUGACCAUCAUUGUUACUAUUUUUGAAAAGCAAUACUAAUCUACUUAACUAAGCAUAAAUGUAUACACUUAUAGGAAAUUUCUUUAAAAACAUUAUAAAAUCCCUUAAUGUUAUUGGAAUCCAUCAUUUUACAUCUCAGUUUGAAUGAAUUCAUCAAAUUCCUUUCUAAAAGCAAGUUCUUCUGGAAUAGAUCAGACAGAGGAUUAGGUAAGUUUGUUUGUUUUGUUUGUUUUUAAGAUUUUAUUUAUUUAUUCAUGAGAGAGACACACACACACACAGAGGGAGAAGCAGGCUCCAUGCAGGGAGCCCGACGUGGAACUCGAUCCCGGGACUCUAGGAUCACACCCUGGGCUGAAAGCAGGUGCUAAACCGCUGAGCCACCCAAGUAUCCCUAGGUAAGUGUUUGGUGUGUGUCAGAAAGGCAAA
rnacentral:lncRNA from 1 species